AUUGAACGCAGGCGGCAUGCUUAACACAUGCAAGUCGAACGGCAGCACAGUACGUAGCAAUACGUAUGGGUGGCGAGUGGCGGACGGGUGAGUAACGCGUAGGAAUCUGCCUUGAAGCGGGGGACAACCCGAGGAAACUCGGGCUAAUACCGCAUAAUAUCGAGAGAUUAAAGCUGGGGCAACCUGGCACUUCAAGAGGAGCCUGCGUACGAUUAGCUAGUUGGUAGGGUAAAGGCCUACCAAGGCGAUGAUCGUUAACUGGUCUGAGAGGAUGAUCAGUCACACUGGAACUGAGACACGGUCCAGACUCCUACGGGAGGCAGCAGUGGGGAAUAUUGGACAAUGGGGGCAACCCUGAUCCAGCAAUGCCGCGUGUGUGAAGAAGGCCUUCGGGUUGUAAAGCACUUUUGGCAGGGAGGAAGAUGUGGAGUUUAAGAGACACUACAUUUGACUGUACCUGCAGAAUAAGCACCGGCUAACUCUGUGCCAGCAGCCGCAGUAA
rnacentral:rRNA from 1 species